UCCUGGUUAUGGGAAACUGAAGCAACAAAUGGCUGCCCUGGGAGAGUGUUGUAUGUGAGCUGCUAAAAGUGGGAUCAUCUCCCUUGACAGAUGCAUCUCCUUCCUUAAUCUCUGUACCUUCCACCUUAGGAAGAGCAUUCACUCCUUUGAAGUGAUAAAGAGGCACCUAACCACUUCCCAUUCCACAGACUCCUCAUGAUGCAGAAGAACCAAAGACCUGCAGGAGUCAUCCUUGAACCUCUCUCCACCCUUGCCUGUACAUCCAAUCAAUCAUCAUUCCUCGUGGAAUAAGUCUCCCAAAGGGAUCUUGACUCCAUCCAUUGCUACAGACUUCAUUCUGGCUGCCAUCACCCCUACCUGGCUGACUGAAGUUGCCUCACCAAUAUUCCUGCUGCUACUCUGGCUUCUCUUCAACCCAAGCUCCCAAAGUAGCACGCUAUUUCCCUACAAGGUUGCAGUUUGGUUUGGAUUUCUAAGAGACUCUGAAGAUACUUGGCUGUCCUCUUCUGUCCAUGAUGAAAAAGUGAGUAGGAUUUUCCUAGAUUGGCAAUGGUGGGCGAUUCUGUUAGAGUGAGGGAUGGAGUGGCUUUGGUUGCUUAUUUGAUUUCUCAGCUCCAGGGCACUCUCUUCUCUUGAUCUAGCGAUUUAUGGAAGG